AAAUUGAAGAGUUUGAUCAUGGCUCAGAUUGAACGCUGGCGGCAGGCCUAACACAUGCAAGUCGAACGGUAACAGGAAUCAGCUUGCUGAUUUGCUGACGAGUGGCGGACGGGUGAGUAAUGUCUGGGAAACUGCCUGAUGGAGGGGGAUAACUACUGGAAACGGUAGCUAAUACCGCAUAACGUCGCAAGA
rnacentral:rRNA from 1 species